AAGAUCUGGAAUUCCUGCAGUCCAACCACUUUAUUCACAGGGACAUCAAGAGCGACAACAUUCUACCGGGAAUGGACGGCUCCGUCAAACUCAACAGUACAAACAUCCUCUAUCAGCUUUCUUCUAAAACGCACCUAGAUAUGUGAGUGCUGAUGUGAGCCUACACCAGCAGAGGGCACAGUGGUCACAUUGUACUUACAGAAGGUCUGACACAGAAAAUGAGUAUUGAGACUUAGAGAGCCACGGCACUGCAGAGUUUAGCAUUUUUCCUAUUUGAUGCUCAUUCUGAAGCUGAGGUGUUUCACCUACAAGUCUUGAUACCUUGAUAUUAGGCACUAAGGUAGCAUUAGUACUCAAGCAUCGUUAUAUAUCAUAAAUGCCCACCUCUGACUGCUAUGUUUUUGUGUGUGUGAUUGUGUGUGUUUUUUUGCUUCUGCGCCCAGAUCACCCCUGAACAGAGUAAGUGCAUCACCAUGGUCUGCACUUCGAAUUGGAAUGGUCCCGGAAGUCGUAACCCACAAGGCUUAUGGACCCAAAGUAGACAUCUGGUCUCUGGGCAUCUCUAUAAUGGCUAUAGAGAUGAUUGAGGGAGAGCCUCCAUACCUCAGUGAGAAUCCUCUGAGGGUAAGAGGGAUGGAAUUGAUGCAAAUGAACACAGUGAUGUUUUUGUUGUUGGCGCUGUAUCUCAUUGCCACUAAUGGAAGUCCAGAGCUGCAGAACCCAGAGAAUCAUCUGUCAUCUGUUUUCUGAUAUUUCCUCAACCACUGUUUAGAGAUGGAUGUGGACAAAAGAGGUUCUGCCAAAGAGCUUCUACAGCUGUUCAUGAUUCAUCACAGGGCAGCUGAACACACUUGGAAGAUUUUACGAAAGCACUAAAUAGCCUCUUUUGAAUACACAAGCUCACAAAAGCCCGAUGAUUACUUACUGUCAUUCUGAUUGACUGAGGAAAGAGCAAUGCUGUCCUUAUGGCUCUCUUCAACUUCCAGCCACAGACGAGAGGUGUGCAUUGGGACUGGGAUCUCACAGGACGCAGCAAAAAAAGUCACUGGAACAGGCGGUUUUUACUUUAAUGCAUGUGAAGGUCAUGGGGCAAAGAAGGACCACGCCAAUUAACAUUGGAGCGUAUUGGGCAUAGCAGAUUGCUCAGGCGGCGUGUUUACAGAGUUCAUUCAAUUAUGUUCAAUGAAUUAUAGACAAAGACUAAAUGUUAUUGGUGGAGGACAAACAAACCUGAUGGAGGACAAACAAUACAGAAUGAUAGAAAUUCUACAGGCUCAUUCAAGAGCAUAAACAGUCAGUACAUAAUGCUAGCACUCCACAUUUAAAAGAAAAAAAACAAUGCAAAAAAACAAUACAAACCCUAUAGACCCCUGCCUUUAAUUAAAAAUUGUCUAAGGCUCAUUUGCUUCUAUACAUGGUGUGUGUUAAGCAUUUUCUAACCUUUAUUUUUCAGUUUCUGACUAUUGUCUGCAGAUUUUUGGCUGGUGGAUCGUCACUCCACCCAGAAUUCCUCCUGACCCACCAUGUCAGGGCCACAUCUGUUCUGAGAAUGAUAAACCAC